CCGCAGGAUGUUCACCACCGCCCAGCGCUUCCCUUCCUCUUUCGCGUUCUGUGUCUGCACUGGAGCGGCCGGCCCGGCAGAAGUGCUCUGGCACAGAGACUCCAGCCUUGCCGGCCUCUCGCCUCCCAAGCACAGAAGCCUCCAGAACGCUGCUUCAAGGACAAGCCCAGGAGACCUGCCAUGCUCAUGCGUGUCUUUGGAAACAGGUUCUCUAAAUUUUGCUUGUGGUUUGUUAAAAAAAAAAAAAAAAUCAGAAGUGUAAUCAAAGACUUCAACAAACGAAGCACCAAAACACUUCAGCUUUGAAAUGUAGAAUUGCAAUGACUGGAAACACGGCUCGCAAAGCAAAAGACAUUAAAAUUCAGUCAUCCCUACAGAAGCCGGACAGGAAUUGAUCACAUCCACUAGUGAAGGCUCAGAAAGUGACAAGAUUUCAUUUGGAAAUCGUACCUGUGUCCUUGGGAACAUCCUGAACCUUGGGAAGCAUCAGCUCAUGGAGUUCCUAUUAACUGGAUAAAUUUAUAUUCUAGAUUGAAAUGGAAUGGAAUUAAGUAGGCCCACGGUUUUGCAGCACGUACAUUUGAAGAAUCAUUAAAAAUCAUCAUAGAAACAAUUUAUUUGACGAGAUUUGUCUUGUACAAAUAUUUGUUAAAUAUUUGUACUCCGAACGGAGGCCAAAAGACAGCACCUGUGGGAAACUUUAGGCUGAAAUAUUUACACAUUUCAACGCAAAAUGUCAGAACUGAGAAUCUGCCGUGUGCUCACAAGGUACCCCAACCCUGCAGAGAGAGACAAUUUUCUUGAUCCAAAUGUCAUCAUCUACCCAGAAGUGUCCAUGGACAGCACAGAUUCACAUUCUGGGGCCGUUAAAAUGUGAAUGUGAGCUAUCAAUGGACACUUCUGGGUAGAUCAUGACCUUUGGAUUAAUUAAGAUUGAUCCAGGCCCGGCGCAGUGGCUCAUGCCUGUAAUCCCAACACUUUGGGAGGCCGAGGUGGGCAUAUCACUAGAGGUCGGGAGUUCGAGUCCAGCCUGGCCAAUUUGGUAAAAACUGUCUCUACUGAAAAUACAAAAAUUAGCUGGGCACGGUGGCAGGUGCCUUUAAUCCCAGCUGCUUGGGAGGCUGAGGCAUGAGAAUCGCUUGAACCCAGGAGGAAGAGGUUGCCGUGAGCCAAGAUUGCGCCACUGCACUCUAGCCUGGGUGACAGAGUGAGACUCCAUCUCAAAACAAACAAACAAACAAACAACCCAAAAAAUUAGC
rnacentral:lncRNA from 10 species